GUAUUGCUUUGUCAGAAGCACGUGAUCAAUGACGUCCGAAUCGUCGUUUUGUCGAACCACCUGAUUUGUUUCCGUAGAAGACAAAAACAAUUACCCCAAAUAUUUUAUCUGCGGCUACCCUGCACGUGCGACGUCAACUGUAAUAAUUUGUCUAUUGUAAAUUAUUUUUACCAGCAGCUGCCACUAGUGUAAGUGUUGAUCAAAGCCAAGAGUAAUGAACAUAUUUUCGACCCAAUUAGCUUGAAAUGCUCAAUGCUUCAGGAAGCUUCGUUUCCCGAACACUACUGUAUAUUAUAGCACAGAUUAUACAUUAUAGCUAAACUAAUACCUAACUAGACUGUAGAGGAUGGGUCCCUCCCACACUGAUCUGUGACAUCGAGGUGAUUAUACUGCCAAUGCAAUUGCACCGAUCUGGUCCGCUCUAGAAUUGAAUCUGUUCCCACAGUCCGUGCAGUGGUAAGGUCUCUCUGCAGUGUGAAUGACCCUGUGUCUCUUCAAGCCGCUCUGAAGGCUGAAGCUCUUCCCACACUGAGAGCAGCUGAACGGCCUCUCCCCUGUGUGGCACUGCAUGUGUACCCUGAGGUGGGACAUGUACACAAAACCCUUACCACACUGGGAGCAGGUGAAGGCCUUCUUCCCUGUGUGGUGGUACUUCUGGUGGUCUUUCAGGUUUCGGAGCUGAGGGAAGCUCUUCCCACAGUGUGGACAGCUGAAGGGUUUGACCCCCAGCUCUGCCGUUGUGUUGAUCAUCAGGCCGUAGGGGCUGUCCUCGAGGGCAACCACAGCAUGCUCUGUUCCCUGGGUGGGUAUCACUGACCUUGGGAGUAGGUGCUGCUCUUUUCUGGUCCAUGGUGCUGGUACUGUAGGAAGAAGCUCACUGGCCCCAUGAUGUGACUUCAAUCUCUCCAGACGACUCUGGCUCAUUAUGGGGGAAUAUGUGGAUGUGGUCAUCUGGUUAACCAGAUCCCCCCAGUCAUCAGGCUCCUCUUUGAUGCGGAUGACAUGGGCCUCCCUCUCUUCCAUCCUUUCAGAGACACAGGAAGAGCUGGGUGUAACCGUUUCCUCUCUCUCUGGGAGAGUGCUGGGUACACCUGGCUGGAAGAUCUCCUGUUUGAUAACACAACCUUCCUCUGCUGCUGAGGACAAAACAGUAGGAAGUUAUAGAUCCUAUAUCAUUUGUGUGUGUGUAUCUAUAUACAUCUCCUCACUCACCUAACAGAGCCUCUUCUCUCUCCUCAGUGUCUCCAGCACAACCACAUCUCCUACACAUCCCCCUCUGCUCUCUCUCUUCCCUCUUCUUUCUCUGCUCUUUAUCUUCCCUCCUCUUCUCCUCUCCAUCCCUCCAUCUGUGUUCACACUGCUGCAGCCUCUCCUUCAAGAUGUCCACUUCCCGCUUGCUCCCUGUCACUUCUUCCAGGAAGUUGUCCUUCACCAGCCGAGUGAUCUCACGCACAGCGGUUUUGAGGACUGUUUCCAUGACUCCAUUGAGUUGGUACUGGAAGGUGAGAAUGGCCUCUGACAUAACUGCAACAACAUUAAUCCAACACUGGAAAAAAACACUUCACUUCCAAAGUUCAACAAGCUAUGAAACUGGCACGUAGCUUCCAGAUUACAACAGCACCAAGGGAGUCCACCUGGAAACAGGAACAAACUGUCAAAUACAUGAUAAGGGAGACCUUGCAGUGUGGACUGUCAUCUGGCCAGUGAAAUAGGGAAGCUCAGCGACCAAUAGUCAUUCAGGCAAACAAAAUGUUUAGCUAUUAGUAAUAGUUAGAUAUUUAAGACAUUAUUAGCGUCAUAGCUAGUUAGCACUACCAGAGCUACUAGUUAGCUAGAUAGCAGAAUGUUGUCCUGCUUUUCUUGCUAGCACAGUAGCAAAUGUUAUCAAGUUAGCUAACCUAGCUAACUUGUGAUACCACAGGAGUGGUAGCAGCUUCAUUUGACUCGAAUAGAAAGUAUCCUUAAUACUUGCCAAACUCUGACACAUGUUUCGUGUCAAUCAGCUAGUUGGAAACGUUCAAUCUCUCAUCCUAGUGCCACGAAGUGUGUAACAAUAUGUGCUGACUGUACACAGGUAACGUUAGCUAGCUAACAACGUUAGACGGCUGGGUCCCGCCCCCUGGCACGUGCUUCAAGGGGAUCAUCAUGAGAAGGUGAUUGCGCAGAUGUUGUCUCCAGAAUGGAUAUUCGAUUAAAAAAAUAAGUCUCUUUCUUUUCGUAACUGGUUUGAGAACACAAUUAUUUUGGUUGGUCAGUUACUGAAUGAGGAUGGAUAUCUACUCUCAUAUGCAGAAUUUCUUGAUAAAUUUAGAAUUCCAAUAACCCUGAAGAAUAUGCAAAUAUUUUUGAUGCGAUUCCAAGGAGGGUUGCAUUUCUUUUAAAUUCCUCUGUGGUUGAUGUAAGUAACAUAGAUUUACAUGAAAAUAUAUUAAUUGGCAAUAUUAACAUCAAAGAUAAAUGUAGUAAUAAACAGAUUAGGAAUAUUGUUUGUGAUACUACAAUUCCUUCAGGAAGAUUUUUUUGGUUGAAUAUCUAUGGUGAUAUACAAUGGUGGAAAGCAUGGACAAUAACUAACAAAUAUUGUAUCAGUAACAAGGUAAAGGAAGUUUCAUUUAAAAUAUUACAUAGAAUUUAUCCUGUGAAACAUGUUUUGGAAAGAUUCAAGCUGAAUAUUGACUAUAAUUGUGAUUUCUGAUGUGAUUUUUUUGCCUGUAUUUAUAGUAGAAUUCUUUGGAUUGACAUACAGAACUUUGUUACAAAACAAAUAGGACUGGUUGUACAAUUUAAUGGUUUUGAUAUUAUGAUUUUUUAAAGAAAUUCUGACAUUGAUAAAGAUGUAGUAUAUUUAAUUCAACUGCUAAUAAUAUUAGGUACGUUUGAUAUUCACAAAUGCAAAUGGUCUAAUUCAAAAGGUAACUUUUUUCACUUUAUAAAUUAAUUUAAACAAUAUGGCAUUACUUUAAACAAAAACAAAAAACAAAAAGGCAAUUCAAACUUGUUUUAUUAUUAAUGAAUAUGAUUUGUUUGUUUAGGAUAGUUUGUAUGUAUGAUUGUUUGCAUGUGACUAUUCCUCUUUUGUUUGUGGAUGCAGACUCUAUAAUAAAUAGAUGAUCUCUUA